AUUGAACGCUGGCGGCAGGCCUAACACAUGCAAGUCGAGCGGAGCGGCGGACGGGUGAGUAAUGCCUAGGAAUCUGCCUGGUAGUGGGGGAUAACGUCCGGAAACGGGCGCUAAUACCGCAUACUAUCAGAUGAGCCUAGGUCGGCUUAGCUAGUUGGUGGGGUAAAGGCCUACCAAGGCGACGAUCCCUAGCUGGUCUGAGAGGAUGACCAGCCACACCGGAACUGAGCCACGGGCCGGACUCCUACGGGAGGCAGCAGUGGGGAAUAUUGAACAAUGGGCGCAAGCCUGAUGCAGCCAUGCCGCGUGUAUGAAGAAGGCCUUCGGGUUGUAAAGUACUUUCAGCGGGGAGGCGUUACCCGCAGAAGAAGCACCGGCUAACUCCGUGCCAGCAGCCGCGGUAAUUC
rnacentral:rRNA from 1 species